CAAUCGAAAAUCGGUUUAAAUCGAGAAUCGGCUACUCUAUUUCAGAUCGAUCAAGAAAAUGAAGAGAUCGAUUUAGUUCAGGAUAUUUUCUCGGUGCAAAAACUUGUUCCAAAUUUGUUUUUUUUAUUAAUUUGACAAAUCACUCACUCAGGAUCGCCAGUUUGGAUCAUUUAAGGCUAAAUUUAACUAACAAUGUGUUAGUCAAUGAUAGAUUUAAGGACUCAAAGUGGGUUUGAGACGCUUCAGAAAAUUGGCGCCAGAUUUGAAAAUCUUUUACCUGCAAUGUUCAAUAACAAUCCUAAAUCGAGAAAUCGACUUUAUCGAUUUUAAUCGAUAGAUCGAUCUACUGAAUUUUUCAGAUCGGAAAAAUCGAUCAAGCUUAAAUUGCUCGAUCGGCCAACACUACACCAGGGGGCAGGACAGUCUAUUAGUCUGUAAAACUGUUCAGUCAUCUGUAUGGCUUGCUUGUAUUACUUGAUACACUCAAAUAAAUGUGUUUGACAAAGUAUAAUUGAAUUACUUUCACUAUUGUUUAUUAAUUUUGUGGUUCCAAUUAACAAAUAUUUGUUAUGAGUGAUACUAAAGUAAUGGAAAAAGAAUUCACCGAGGAUGAAUUAGCGGGCGGUGAAAGUUUGGUUGAUGAUGAAGAUCUGUCAGACGAAGAGUAUGUUGAAGCUCUAGGUGAACAUGAUGAAGGUGGUAAGAAAAACCACGAAAGCCCGAAGCAUGGUUCACAUCAACACAAGGAAAAAGUAUCUAAAGACAAAGAUUCAAGAGCUGAAAAAGAAAAACCAAAAGGAGAAUGUGAAGAUAUAGAUAGCGUCAAAAUUGAAAGUGAAGAUAAUGAUAAAGAUGAAUUACACAGUGUUGAAACAUCCAAAGUUUCAACCGAACCUGUAGAUAAAAUUGCUGUAACCAUUGAGGAAAGUGAUGAAAAUACAGAUAACUUAUUAGAAGAUGGAGAAGAUGAUGACGAAGAUGAUGAUGGUGAAGUAGAAAACGAUGAAGAAGAAGACGAGGAAGACGAUGGAUCUAUCGAAGGUGAACGAGAAGAAGGGGAUGGUCAGGAAAGCAAUGAAAUCUCCAAACAAACGGAUAAAGAAUUAGAUGACGAUGAAGACAGACGCAAUCCUCAAUAUAUUCCUAAGAGAGGGGCCUUUUAUGAACACGAUGAUCGUCUAGGAACUGACGAGGAAGUGGAUGAAGAAGAGGAGCCCGAGAAGCCUGAGGCUGUAGAGAAAAAAACUGAACCAGUAGUUGAAGUUCGAAAACCGAAAAAGCUUUGGUCUGACGAUGGCAAGUGGGGCCAUGAUAUGUUCGACGAUGAUGAACAAAAACCAAAACCUAGAGAUGAAAUUGUCUCUACCUAUGGUUAUGACAUUAGGAAUGAAGAUGGUCCCCCUAAAGCAAGAAGACGCCGUAGAUAUGGACGAGGUCCAAAUCGAUAUACUAGAAGCUGGAAAGAUGAAGGGGCUUACUCAAGCCCAAAAGAUGUUAUAAGUAAAGUGAAACCAAAAGUCGACGACAAUGUUAAAAGAGACAAAGAGCCAAGACCAGUUACUUUGAAAGAAAGCGAGGAGAAAAGGCCUUCUAGUAAUAGAAGGAGUGGGUCCGGAGGUCGUUCGCGAAAUGAACCAAAAUCAGUCUUCAAAGCUAAUGAUCGUGAUCGAGAUCGUGAUCAAUCAAGAGGAAAAGAAGGCAAAGAUAUUGGACUUGGUCGUGAACGAAAUCGUGAACGUGAAAGAGAUAGAGAUCGUAGAAGAUAUGACCAUAACAGAAGCCCAGGACCAUCGAAAGACCUUAGGGAUAGUGUUUUAAAAACUGAUAAAGACUUAAAAAGGAAUCAAAAAGAUUUCAGUGAAAACGAUUUUCCUGAGCUUCCACAAAAGACCAGAGAAAAGAUACGACCAAUUCAACAAGUGACAACAGGUGACGCAAAUCAACCCAAUGCCUGGAGUAAAUCAAGACCAAAGCAUUCUAAUGCUAGAGAUAUAAUCCGUGAGGGAGAAGGUUCCGAAGAAUUUAAAUCGGAACCAAUGAAAGUUGUGGAAAACUUUGAAAAUAGUAAAAGACUAUUCAAUCUUCCGGACAGUAACAAAAUCGAAAUUGUUAAAACACAGACUUUCGAGAACUCACGAUAUUUUAACCGACGUCAUUUAACCAAAAAUCAUCACCAAGAACCAACAAAUGUUAAAAAAGAUUUGGCUUUACACCGUAACAAUAGAGGAAGACCAAGGCAAGGUGAAAGAGAUGUCAGAAACAGUGGAGAGAUUGGUCGACCGAUCACAAAAACUAGUCACUUAGCCGAUGACUAUGAAGAAGAUCCUAGUGGCAGUGGAACCAUUGAUCAGCACAGACGAGGACGAUAUAAUAUUGGCAAAGAAAGAGAACUCAGAGACUACAGAAGCAAUCAUCAUGGGUUAGAAGACCGAGAUCGUCGCGGAUCUGAAGAACCCAGAGGUAGAAGUUAUAUUGAUGAUCGACACUUCGAUGGCCAUUUUGGCGAUAAUCAAGGUGAAAUUAGUGUUGGAAUGAGUAAAUUAAGCAUAGAUAAAAGCCGAUUGGCGGACGAUUCUAAUUUAUCAAAACCAAAGCGCUACUCAUCGUUGAGGCAGCAUCAAACUCAACAACAACACCAACACCAACUUCAGCAGUCAGAACCUCACCCGGCAAAACAUCAACAACAACAACAUGCACAUAAACAACCUCAAUCUCAACCCCCACAACAAUCAAUUGAUAACCAACCUAAUUCAAAUUUGAAUCAGUACCCAGCUACUUCACAACACAUAACAAUGGGCCACUCUAGACAGACUACGAAUGUUCAAUAUUAUGAGGCAACUUCUGGUGCCAAUCAACAGCCUUCAGCGAGUUACUACAUUGAUAAUCGAUCUCCACAAUCUUCAUUUGGUUACAUACCUACAACCAAUAUCGAAGGAGCAACAAACGCUACUCGCUUUCUUUCUCAAAUAGCACCUCGUUUUAUUCCACCUCCACCAGCCCCUCCUCCACCGCCACCUGAACCACGCUUCAUGGCUCAGGCUGUGGCUGCCGCUGCCGCUGCUAACCCAGCAACCGCUGGAGCUGGUACAUUGCCUCCUGUGAUCUCUGGUCCUCCAGCAGCUACCUAUCUGCCAACUUAUCCACCUGGCUACCCUCAAUAUCCACCGCCUCCUCCUGCGGCGGCACAGUUUUCUAUUGCCCCACCUCCACCACCUUCUGCGUCUGAAUUAUACCGUGGUGGUGUUACUUAUUAUGAUACAAUGACUCAACAACCUCACCACCUUUGAAUGAUGACAACAUAGACAACAGCAGUGAACAUUUGAUCGGUCCAACCUUGUUUGAAAAGUUAUUCAAUUCUGUAGACACAAUAUCAAAAAGUCUUAUUGGAAUGUCUUGCAAGAAUUCAUUGGAAUGAUCGAUACAAAACCUAUUAUCUGAAUGCGGCAUUGUUGGGAAAGAUUCGCCAGUUUGAUCCAAAAACAUGAUAUCAUCUUAUAUGGACUACUCUUUAUCCUUUAUAAACCCAGAAGAGCCAAAUUUGUCGAUGUCAACUUUGUGGUCAACUUUUCUGCAUUAUUGGUCUUAUAUUAAUGUACACACACUCAUUCCCUCUUAAAAUUGUAAUAUGUUAAACGUACGAAUGAUAAUCAAAUGUUCAUUUUUUUGCUA